UAUCUCAUAUUCAGACACAACACUUUUCUGAGCUGCGGCUCACAUGUGUGCGUGUGCUUUCCAAAUGAAUUUGGAAUUGACAAAAAUUUCCAAAGCCAAAUUACUAGUGUGUCUCUGUGAAAUUAGGUUCUUGACCCCUGCUUCUGAUGUAUGCUUAUUUUUCUCCACAUUUUCUCCUUCAAUUUUAUGCAUCGCUAUUCACUGCUGGGACCACUGACGUGGCUUUCCCAAAAGGGGCUAGCUGCUGCUGAUGGAGAUUUAAUAGGCAUGAAGACAUCAACAUUUAGACAGUCCAAUUCAAUCUGCCUGCAACCAACUCUGAGAAGAACGAAUAUCACUACCUACAAACUUUAUCAGCAAUUUGCCUUCCUUUCUCCCUGCCAACUGUUUCACAGAACCUAACACAGAGAAGCACACAAGCACAGGAGGUCCUUGGGAUGCAAAGCCGGGAAGAAAGGCUAUCGCCCGAGUUCCUGAGAGCAAGACCCAGUGAGUAUUCAUAAAGUUAGGCUAGAGAUAGACUAAUACCCUGAAAGGGCUUCUUCUCCUAUUUUAGACAUAAUCUGAGCAUAACGCAACCUGAUCCCCAAAUGAAUUGAAGAUAAUUCAACAGGGAAUAGCAUUUGUCAUACAGAUACUUUGCAUAGAAGAAUGACCAUCUUCCUAACCUUAGUAAAAACCUUCAUCUCAAGAGCUACCUUCCUUUCUGAGACCCCGGUUGCUGACAACCUUAAAUUGCAUAUUGCUUAAGAAGAAAGAGAGCUGAUUUAAAUAACAUUUGCCAUAUAAUUAUUGCAAACGUAUUCAGUUAAGCUAAUAUAAAAUCAACUCCCUUCUAGUCAUUGGGGAUUGGCCCAUUGCAUUCAUUUGGAAGGCAAAAUUUAUAUAAAAGAUGCUAGCUGCCUGAGGGUGUGUUAAUUGCUUAAAGAAAUUUUGUGUUUUGUUUUUUUAUAAUAAAGAAAUAUUCCAGGGGAAAAAAGAAACGAGAAGCACAAAAGAGAGAUCCAUAAAUAUGAGGGGAAGACGUGGCAGUGUGCAAAGCUGUAAUCAGAGUUUUCAACCUGUCAAGAGAGAAAGGAACGAGUAGAAAUAGUCAUUAAGUGGCAGUGUUGGGAGACUUACAAAAAAAUACUUCACACAUUGAUCUUCCAUGGAUGCUUUCCAUACGCCAUCUAUUAGAAUCUUUUGACCUUUUCCUAACACUAUUAAAAGAUAAAAUGUUAAUCUA